UCGCGACCCCAGGUCAGGCGGGAUUACCCGCUGAAU
rnacentral:rRNA from 1 species